rnacentral:rRNA from 1 species
AAAACAUCGCCUUUUGACUCUUCAUAAAAGGUCCAGCCUGCCCAGUGACUUUUGUUCAACGGCCGCGGUAUCCUAACCGUGCAAAGGUAGCGUAAUCACUUGUUUUUUAAAUAAAGACUAGUAUGAAAGGCCCCACGAGGAUAACACUGUCUCCUUUUUUUAAUCAGUGAAACUAAUCUUCCCGUGAAGAAGCGGGAAUAUAUCAAUAAGACGAAAAGACCCUAUGGAGCUUUAAACCUUAUAGCACCUGUCAACCUACCCAUCACCCCCCACAUUUUAGACAUCAUUAACUAUAAGUUUUCGGUUGGGGCGACCACGGAGUAAAAUGAACCCUCCAAGUUGAUUAACACCCCUUAAGCCCAGAGUUACAACUCUAAGCAUUAACAAAUUAACAUCAAUUGACCCAGUAUUCUGAUCAACGAACCAAGUUACCCUAGGGAUAACAGCGCAAUCUACUUCAAGAGUCCUUAUCGACAAGUGGGUUUACGACCUCGAUGUUGGAUCAGGAUUUCCUAGUGGUGUAGCCGCUACUUAAGGUUCGUUUGUUCAACGAUUAAAAUCCUACGUGAUC